rnacentral:rRNA from 1 species
UACGUAGGUGGCAAGCGUUGUCCGGAUUUACUGGGCGUAAAGGGCGUGCAGGCGGUUUGUUAAGUGCAGAGUGAAAGCUCCCGGCUCAACUGGGAGAGGUCUUUGCAUACUGGCAAACUCGAGGGAGGCAGAGGAAAGUGGAAUUCCCGGUGUAGUGGUGAUAUGCGUAGAUAUGCGGAGGAACACCGAUGGCGAAGGCAAUCCCCUGGGCCUGCACUGACGCUCAUGCACGAAAGCGUGGGGAGCAAACAGG